GCAAGUCGCCCACAGGGUGCCAGGUCACUCUGCAAACCUUGUUAAAACAUCAGACCCACGUACACACAAUGUUCUCGGGGCAGGAAUGGAGCUCCAGCGCAAGGGCAAGGCUUCGCCAUGACUAGCUACGUUCCUCACAUCUGGCUCCCACGACGUCGGUGGAGCAGCAGCCGCACCAGUUCAUAUCUCGGGCUUGGAAUUUCUACACGAGAAUCACAGGGUCGGAGAAGUAUCCAAGAAAGGACACCCCCCUACCGAUGUGUUGUCCUAGCACAAUUUAUGUGUCGAUGCUAUCCUCUGAAAACCCAGACAAUAAACCUCAUGUCAUCACACGGUCCAUCAACUUGAUCACUAAGUGGUAUAACAUGGCCGUUUAUCUUCAAUCUAAGCGCAUGCAAAGGUAGCCCGUUGAGAGUCAACGAGUGCAGGAACUCAAGAGCACAAUACUCAUCCUUCGCACUAUCAAAAUUGUGGUAGAUUACCUCUUCACCCGAAAGUGCUUAAUAAAUCAUAUAUUUAUCUUUUCAA